rnacentral:tRNA from 1 species
GCGGAUAUAGCUAAGUGGAUCAAGGCAGUGGAUUGUGAAACCACCAUGCGGGUUCAAUUCUCGUCGUUCGCC